GUGGGGAAUCUUGCGCAAUGAGCGAAAGCUUGACGCAGCAACGCCGCGUGGGGGAAGAAUGCCUUCGGGUUGUAAACCCCUUUCAGGAGGAACGAAGGAUCGGCCGUUAAUAGCGGAUCGGUUUGACGGUACCUCCAGAAGAAGCCCCGGCUAACUACGUGCCAGCAGCCGCGGUAAUACGUAGGGGGCAAGCGUUGUCCGGAAUCAUUGGGCGUAAAGCGCGCGUAGGCGGUUCGAUAAGUCUGCUGUGAAAGUCAAAGGCUCAACCUUUGAAAGCCGGUGGAAACUGUCGAGCUAGAGUCCGGAAGAGGCGAGUGGAAUUCCUGGUGUAGCGGUGGAAUGCGCAGAUAUCAGGAAGAACACCAACGGCGAAGGCAGCUCGCUGGGACGGUACUGACGCUAAGGCGCGAAAGCGUGGGGAGCAAACAGGAUUAGAAACCCCGGUAGUCC
rnacentral:rRNA from 1 species